CACUCCAUACUUUGAGUUUAUACCAAUAUCUAGUUGUUCCUAUUAAAGAGAACGGAAAGAGCUUCCAUUUAAGGGUCUCAUUGGACAUGCCUUCUAUGCGAAGGAGGUCACAGACUCGAUAAAACUCUCUUAGGUGUGUGUAUGGGUUUUCCUCACCUUCUCCUGAGAAAGGUUGUUUUUGAACAAAUUCUAUGUAUUCGGGGUCUAUCUCAAAACUAGAUGCUAUGAUAGGCUUUGAAUAUUUUGGUGGUUCGAGAUGUGUGCCCGUAGGUCUAUGAAAUUCAUAGAUAGACAUGUUUGAAUUCAUGAUAGACCAGAGAUCAAGGAUUAGAUAAGAAGAAAGAAUAGCAGAGAUAAGGCACAGGAUAAAAGGAAAAAUAUUUUUUUAUUUUUUUUAGAAAAUGAUUAAGCUAGUUCGUAGUCAACUCAGCAACCGUCUCCCCGGCAACGGCGCCAAAAAUGCUUGUUGACACUUGCUAACACCACUUGAAUACUAGGUUGUCAUCCCCAGCAUGGCACUAGAGUGUACUAUGGUAUUUAUACGCACACAGAUAAUCUGCAAGCGCACGGAUACCGUUAUAGCUUUUACCCGGUUAAAGGAUUUAUCGUAUCCAUAGGGAAACGGGAGAACCAACUAUGCUCUAACUUAACCAAGAUAGAUAGAUAGGUGUGAAUAGAAAAGAUGGUAGAAUUGAAUAAGAACAAUAUUAAAGGUAAGAUAACAAUGGGUGAUAAUAUGGGAAUAGAGAGUAGAGCAAUUCUAGUAUAUGGGCGAUGGUAGCAGAAUAGAGAGAAUAACUAUGGUUUCUCUACUUCAAAGGGGUAUGUGUAUGUCUGGGACGAACCAUGUGAUAAGAAUACACCACAAAGGAUGCUUAUCCAUAGGCCGAUAAACCCUACCCGUCCUACUAACAAGAGGUGGACUACAAGGGACCAACGUAACUGUCACCUACGUGGCCUACCACACGAUCCAGCUAGACAGGGGAUAUCCACAAGUAAUCUAGGUCUAAGCACCACGCUUACACCUAUACUACAACUCUCACCUAUAGCGUCCUAUAGAUUAGAAGUACUCAAAAGAGUUGUGAACUAGAACAUACAUGAUUAGUAAUUGCAUAAUGAAUUAGAAGUAGAUUACCAGAGUCAUCCCAUGAGCAAGCUUGAUUAGAGCUUGAUCAUGGCGAAGUACAAUCGGAGGAAGAACCGACAGGUCGGCCUCUCCUCCAAUCCUCCCUCGCUCUCCAUCUCGCUACUAACUAGAUCUACUCUAGUUUAGAGAAGAGAGGAGAGCUCUCAUCUCCAAACCCUAGCUUUUGCUCUGUCUAUGAAUAAUGAAUAAUGAUCAAGGGGGUGCCUCCUCCAGGGGCUAGAGGGU
rnacentral:lncRNA from 1 species